GGCUGGCAUGCCAGGUGACCAGUGAGGCAUGAGACAGUGCUGCUUAAUUCCUGAACCUAGACUCUGAUUGCACUUUACAUGUAAACACACCAAAUAUCUUCUGUCAAGGUUUUAAUAUACCGAAUUUUCCAGAAAUGCAACCACUGGAUAAAGCAGGGGAAAAACUCUACUUUCUUCUGUUCAGAACUUUACCAAGACUUACUCACCUCAUCAGCUGCUGCCUACAUCUUUGUUCUCUGUGAGGAAUAUACACCCCCAGGGGCCCCUUUCUCAACCGUGGCCGAGCAGCCAGGUCUGGGCCACCAGGCCGGGUUCCGUUAUGGGAAGGAACUAGCAGAUCUAAUGGAAUCAUGCCGACUGGGCCAGGAGCAGCAUGGAAGUGUUGGUGUUCUUAAGUCCCAGAGAUGCUGAGGUGGCAAAAAUACUCAUGUUCCCAGACUCUCCUGCAAUCAGCUGUGCAAUGAGAUGUAGGUGGAAGCUUUCCACUCCCCCCAAAAGACAAAGCACCUGGAAGAGAGGACUUUGACUUUUUAUCCUCCUUUUGCCCAUUACCCCAACUUUCUCUUCCUGCCUGGAAUGUGGAUUUGAUGCCUGGAAGCAGAGAAGCCGUCUUGAGACCAUGAGGAUCAAAGCCAGAUGCUCAGAAGGGGGAAGAGGGAAGAAGGAAGAUGCCCGAGCCCUCCAGCAGCUGUGCCACCACUGGGUCACCCAGCUCUGCACUUCUUGUCAUGUUUGUCCAAGCUGUCACCUGUUGAAUUUCCCAUUCCUCCAGCUGAUGUACUAUGCGUACACAAACAUUUAUAUUUAUCUCUAUCCUUUCUUCCCCACAAAAAUGGUAGCAUAUACGACCCCUAUCCUUCAGGAUAUUACUUCCUCAUUUAAUGAUGUGUCUUGGAGGUUGUUAUAAAUCAGUACAUACACAGUCGCACCAAACUUUUUACAUAAAUGUGUCAAAGCUGCCCCACAGAGCCUUUAACUACUCAUGUCUUAAGCCACAUUUCGAUUGUUCUCAACUUUGCAAAGAUUAUCCAGGUACAUAUUUAAUUUCCCUCAUGUGAGUGUGUAUCUACUGGAGUAUAAUUGCUGAAUGAAGGGGCACGUACCUUUGAAAUGUUGCUAGAUGUUGUCAAAUUGCCCUGCAGAGGCUGGGUCAAUCUGCAUUCCACCAGCAAUGUACUGGAAUAUCCACAUAUUAUCUCUAGUCCUUUCAACAACAACACAGGAUAAUUCCCAUUUUGCUGAGGCUCAGAGAAUUGUACGUGGCCUGUGCAAGGACACUGCAGGUAACUGGGUCUUGAACCAGGAUCUGUCUGAUGUCAAAGCUGUGCUUAUGAACACUUACAUGACAUUGCUUCCCAGGCAUGCUGGAUUCCAGUGACUCUCAGCAAAACUGGAAGAGUGAAUAUUCUGUGCUUCAGAAGGGCCACUGGGGAGCUGCAGAGAGACCCACAUAUGUCCUAGGCUGGCUUCCGGCUUGGAUCUGCCACUGUGAGCAAGUCCUGUCCCCUCUCUGGGCCUCAGUGUCCCCAUCUGUAAAAUGAACAGCUUGGAGGAUGGCUACCAUCCAAAAGACAAACAACAACAAAUGUU